rnacentral:rRNA from 1 species
UACGGAGGGUGCAAGCGUUAUCCGGAUUCACUGGGUUUAAAGGGUGCGUAGGCGGGCAGGUAAGUCAGUGGUGGAAAUCCUUGAGCUUAACUCGAGAACUGCCAUUGAUACUAUCUGUCUUGAAUAUUGUGGAGGUAAGCGGAAUAUGUCAUGUAGCGGUGAAAUGCUUAGAUAUGACAUAGAACACCUAUUGCGAAGGCAGCUUACUACGCAUAUAUUGACGCUGAGGCACGAAAGCGUGGGGAUCAAAACAGG